rnacentral:lncRNA from 1 species
UAAUGACCAAGACAUUUUCUUUGUGCUCUUUCUUUGCAGAAAUUGCAAAGCCAAACUUGGAAGCAACCUUGAAAGUGAGGGUGCUUUAGGAAAUUGUGUCAGGUGGUGACAGGUUAAGGUUGUAGUUAUUAACUAUAGGCUAGAAGUAAAGUUAUAUGGGCUAGAAUAUUCACAAAGGUUUCCUGCAUCUGGAGGGGAGGCCAGGAAGAUGAAGAAAGAAUUGCAUAAGGCACAGACCUGAGGAAGAGAAAGUCUUUUAAGAAAAGAGGACUCCUUAUCUUGAGUGAAAUUGGAGACAAAGGACUCUGCUUCACCCCCACCCCAGAACUCACUAGUUUACAUUGUGCUUCUCUGGGUGAAGCUCGGAUUUAGAUUAGAGAUCCUGAAAUGUGCCUUUGACCCUUUCCUUUGCAAAUUACCCAAAAAGAUAUUCAAUCAAGCCGAACUUCAAGGCAAAUUCUGAUCCUUAACGUGCAUUUGGUUUUCUGGUUCCAAUCACUCCAGUGAAUGAAUUAAAAUAAAACAGUCACAUACAUGUCAUAAAAGUCUG